UUGGCGUCAGGGGUGACCAGAACAUGUCAUUGGCAUCAUAUGCAAGACUGCAUUUAUUGCUUGUGUUUGCUGCAUUUUAUUUAUUGCAUAUUGGAUGGAUGCAUAUGUUUGACAUGCAUACAGGGAUAUGCUACUUUUGGUCUGACGAUCUUAUUAUUCUGAUAGGAGGUCCUGCCCGAUACCCGUUGAGGAUGUGACUGUCCCCGUUAAUAUUACCAUUUCAGAUUGAUGCUGUCAGGAGGUUCCAGUCGCUAGUCCCCCACCACUUUGCUUCGCUACGGUUUUCUACUCUUUGGACUUUUGGUUCCUUGUUAUGUAUUUAUAUAUAUACUUGUGAUGCAGGAUUGUACUCAAGGAUCUUUUAUCGAGUUUUGGUCUACUACUUGUGUUUUC